ACUCUGGGACCUCUCCCUCAUUCCAGACUCUGGGUGAGAGGUUUUGGGAGGMCAGGAACCCCAAAACUCACCACCUUUGCCGUCCGUUUUGCAACUUCCAGCUCAUCGUGCCGUGAGGGUGAGACAGCCGAGCCGCCCACACGGUUUUCACUGGCGGCCGAGCUGCAAUUAAAAGCCGUGUGUAACACGAGGAAGACAAUCCAGGGCCUGACAAGUCAAUCCCAGAAAUCGGGUUGCAGGAGCUUUGGAAGGUGGUGGGUAAUUAGGGGCGCGGCUGUUGUGUAAAUACCUUGGUCAUUUUUGCCCCGGGGGGGUUAUUGCAUUUUCAGGAAGGGACUCGGGAACCGUAUAAAAGCCCUCGGAGGGGAGAAGCAGCUCAUUCRCUCGGCUCCGCUUCUCCUCCAGAGCCUUCACAGCCCAGGUUUUCCACCUUCACUCCAAAACCAACCCAAAAAUGUGCUCCCGGGAGAACAGAGGCUGCCACAGCUCCGAGAGCUCCUCCUGCCACGGCGGCAGCUCCUCCUGCCACGACAGGGAGCACUCGUGCCACGGUUCCGAGGGGGUGGUGUGCCACGAGGUGACCGCCGUGCCCGAGGUGACCCCCGUGGUGGUGUUGACCCCUCAAUGCCCGGUGGCCACCGGCCAGGGCCAGGUGGCCCARGUUCCGUGCCAGCAGCAGCAGCAGCAGAUCAAGCAGCCGGUGCAGUGGCCGCCGCAGCAGCAGCAGAAGUGAGGAGCCCCCGGAGAUGCUCCUGUCCCCUGUCCCCGAGCUUGGACAGGCCCUGCUCCCCCUCUGCAGCCCCUUCCCCUUAUCCUGAGAACCCCAAAGUGGCAUUAGCGCGGUGGAAUCGGGAUUUCUCCCCUGCGCCGGGGGAAUUCCGCUCUCUCCGUUCCCUGCUCCCGUCUCCAGUAGCAAAGCUGUGAUAUUAAAACCUGAAGCUCAUCCAA